UACGUAGGUGGCGAGCGUUGUCCGGAUUUACUGGGUGUAAAGGGCGUGUAGGCGGGUUUGCAAGUCAGAUGUGAAAUUCCAGGGCUCAACCCUGGCGCUGCAUCUGAAACUGUAGAUCUUGAGUGCUGGAGAGGAAAGCGGAAUUCCUAGUGUAGCGGUGAAAUGCGUAGAUAUUAGGAGGAACACCAGUGGCGAAGGCGGCUUUCUGGACAGUAACUGACGCUGAGGCGCGAAAGCGUGGGGAGCAAACAGG
rnacentral:rRNA from 1 species